CGUUCAGUAUGGACACAUGAUGCAGGUGGAGAGGCCCCAGAGGCUUCCUGGAGGAGGCUGUGUCCUACCUGGAGUGCCUUCUCCUCAGCCUUGUCCUCUUUGCAAACUCUCAGCUUUACAACAUGCUGGCAGGGUGACCUUGGAGAAGGGACUUCACCUCCCAAGACCUCAGUUUCUACAAAAUGGGGACGUGUAUGUGCCUACUUCCUGGGGCUGCUGGGAGAAUUGAACAAGGUGAUGUUCGCAAAGCAUUUGGCAUGGUAGCUGGUGUUACCAUUAUUAGUCAGAGGAGGUGGUGGUGGUUUCCACUUGGAUGGCUGGGAGGAUGCGGGUGGCCUUAUUUAACAAAACAGGGAGUCCAGAAGGGAGGGACAGGCUCAGGGCACGUGGGAGGACAAGGGCUUUGGAGCUGACUUCAGAGGCAAGAUCUGAGAAUAGGACCCAAGGGUCCUUGCCUCUUGCUGGCACUAACCAUUUGUCUUCCCAGCUGCACCCCCAGGCUCUGCCAGCAUCGCCAACCCUGCUUCCUGCACACCCUGAUGAUCUCCUUCAGAAACCCGGCCGUUUGCUAGUAGCCUGUUUAACUCAUCCUCCAGGACUCAUUGGUCACUCCUCUUCCAUGAAGAUGGUCCUGCCCUUUCUCUUCCCUCCAUCCCUGCUUCACCCAAGAUUCUGUGUACCUCCUUUCACUGGCCAACCUCCAGGACACGAGCUCCUGCAAAGCAGCGCUGGACUUUUGUUUCAGACUCUCAGGUCAAGCACGGGAAAUAUUUCUCAAUGAAUCAAUGAAUGAAAUGAGUCCAUGAGUGAAUGUCUGGGAAAGGGAACAAGUGACAGAGUCACCAGUCCCCUCAGCCCUAGCGUGAGGCUCCCCUACCCUCUAUGGCCACUCCUGCUUCC
rnacentral:lncRNA from 1 species